UCUGGAAUCUAUUAAAGAAGUUCUCUUUAUAGGUGAAAUUCGACCCUCACACUGUCCGACUACCCUACGUCGAGGAAAUAUACACACACACCAACAUAACACUCACACGAUUGCAAAGAAUCUUCACCUCCACACCACCAAUCACCAAAUACGAUAUAAGUAAACCUUAAUACGUAAGCGAUAAAUUAAUUUCUAAGAAAUUACCGAAAUAAGAAAGUAAAGAGUAGAUGUCGAAACUCAAUAAAGUAAA